UGGCAGACGGGUGAGUAACGCGUGGGAACCUACCUUUAGGUACGGAACAACAGUUGGAAACGACUGCUAAUACCGUAUGAGCCCUAUGGGGGAAAGAUUUAUCGCCUAAGGAUGGGCCCGCGUUGGAUUAGCUAGUUGGUGGGGUAAUUGCCUACCAAGGCGACGAUCCAUAGCUGGUCUGAGAGGAUGAUCAGCCACACUGGGACUGAGACACGGCCCAGACUCCUACGGGAGGCAGCAGUGGGGAAUAUUGGACAAUGGGGGCAACCCUGAUCCAGCCAUGCCGCGUGAGUGAUGAAAGCCCUAAGGUUGUAAAGCUCUUUCAGCGAGGAGGAUAAUGACGUUACUCGCAGAAGAAGCCCCGGCUAACUUCGUGCCAGCAGCCGCGGUAAU
rnacentral:rRNA from 1 species